UGCUUAUGUGGUGCUGAGGAACUGAACCCAGGUCUUCAUACAUGCGAGGCAAGCACUCUACCACUGAGACAUUUUUUCAGCACUGCAGGCAAUCAGGGAAGAAAUCAGUGGACAAAGUUCAAUAUGUGGGAACUGGACACCUAGAACCAGCUAAUCAUGUCUUUAUGAAGUAGCGUUUGCCUGCAGAAGAUGAAGAGGAUCAGCACUUCAAACGCCUUUAAUGGAAGAAAAAGAGGAACAUAAUGUAAACUAUAUUGUCCUCAGAAGUAAUUGUAUAAAAUGCUUAAGAUUAAAAAAUAAUAGCAUUCUUGGAAAUAUGAGCUGCGUUAUGACUCAGCAAAUAAUCUGGCUGAUUGUGACCUGUUAUACAAAUGAAGUAAUAAAAAUUCAAUUUUAAUACAAUCAUGAUAAAAAUUGCUUUGUUAAUGUACUCUGCUUGAUUGUCUAAUGAAUGGCCUUCAUUUCAGACAAAAACACAUGCUAAACAUUAGAAUAUCCUCUAGCUAAACAAUGGCUUCUGUUUUUUUAUUUCAAUACAAACAGGCAUGAAUGAUUGAAAGUUUUGAUAUGUAUUUUACAAGAAGUCUGAUUUAAAGUACAUUGUCCUAUGUCAUGUAUAUUUCAAAGAAUUAUCAAACAAAAUCAACUAGUUUCAUAUAUGCUUAAGUGUUUUGUUUACCAUAUUACUCUGACAAACAACCUACUUAAUAGUUUCUGAAAAAGAUCUCUUUGUAAAAGCAAGUAAACUUCACAGACUUAUACUAUAUGACAUAUAAAUAAUUAAACAGAUUUUCCAGCAUCCAGCUGAGCCAAUGUGAGAUAAUUUAAAAUAUAUCUAAUUAUUUUAGUCUUAAAAAUUUUAAUGUGACUUAUUAACUUGUUCUUUGUUAUGUAUAGAUAAUCAAAAUGACUUGUAAACUGAGUAGGACUUAUACAGAUAACCAAAAUUUAAAAAUUAGGAUUUCUUUUAGCAGUCAAAUUUCUUACUUAAAGGGAGCUGUAAAACAUGUCACAUCAUUUUGAUAGAGGCCAAAAAUAUAUUCCCAAAGUACUUUCUACCACAACAUGAGUGCAAAUACUGUUCAAUAAGAAUGUGUAUACAUUGACUGUGAAGAAACAGAAUUCUGAUACUGGCAGAAAGAGUAGGGACAGUCUGAAAAGUAGUUAUUUUAUACAAAUGUUGAGGUGGUUCACUUUAAUUGUUAAUAAAAAUAUGUCUGUUUCUUCUA